UACAGAGGUCCCAAGCGUUGUCCGGAUUUAUUGGGCGUAAAGAGCGUGUAGGCGGCUUUGCAAGUCCGUUGUGAAAACUCGAGGCUCAACCUCGAGACGCCGGUGGAAACUGCAAAGCUAGAGUCCGGAAGAGGAGAGUGGAAUUCCUGGUGUAGCGGUGAAAUGCGCAGAUAUCAGGAAGAACACCCGUGGCGAAGGCGGCUCUCUGGGACGGUACUGACGCUGAGACGCGAAAGCGUGGGGAGCGAACAGG
rnacentral:rRNA from 1 species